rnacentral:rRNA from 1 species
UACGAAGGGGGCUAGCGUUGUUCGGAAUUACUGGGCGUAAAGCGCACGUAGGCGGGUUGUUAAGUCAGGGGUGAAAUCCUGGAGCUCAACUCCAGAACUGCCUUUGAUACUGGCAACCUAGAGACUGGAAGAGGUUAGUGGAAUUCCCAGUGUAGAGGUGAAAUUCGUAGAUAUCGGGAGGAACACCGGUGGCGAAGGCGGCGACCUGGGUAGAUACUGACGCUGAGGUGCGAAAGCGUGGGGAGCAAACAGG